rnacentral:rRNA from 1 species
AACCUGCCUUGUACUGGGGGAUAGCAGCUGGAAACGGCUGGUAAUACCGCAUAAGCGCACAAUGUUGCAUGACAUGGUGUGAAAAACUACCGGUGGUAUAAGAUGGACCCGCGUCUGAUUAGCUAGUUGGUGAGAUAACAGCCCACCAAGGCGACGAUCAGUAGCCGACCUGAGAGGGUGACCGGCCACAUUGGGACUGAGACACGGCCCAGACUCCUACGGGAGGCAGCAUG